UAGGGAAUCUUCGGCAAUGGGGGCAACCCUGACCGAGCAACGCCGCGUGAGUGAAGAAGGUUUUCGGAUCGUAAAGCUCUGUUGUAAGAGAAGAACGAGUGUGAGAGUGGAAAGUUCACACUGUGACGGUCACUUACCAAAAAGGGACGGCUAACUACGUGCCACCAGCCGCGGUAAUACGUAGGUCCCGAGCGUUAUCCGGAUUUAUUGGGCGUAAAGCGAGCGCAGGCGGUUAGAUAAGUCUGAAGUUAAAGGCUGUGGCUUAACCAUAAUACGCUUUGGAAACUGUUUAACUUGAGUGCAGAAGGGGAGAGUGGAAUUCCAUGUGUAGCGGUGAAAUGCGUAGAUAUAUGGAGGAACACCGGUGGCGAAAGCGGCUCUCUGGUCUGUAACUGACGCUGAGGCUCGAAAGCGUGGGGAGCAAACAGGAUUAGAUACCCUGGUAGUCCACGCCGUAACGAUGAGUGCUAGGUGUUGGGUCCUUUCCGGGACUCGCUGCCGCAGCUAACGCAUUAAGCACUCCGCCUGGGGAGUACGACCGCGAGGUUG
rnacentral:rRNA from 1 species